rnacentral:lncRNA from 1 species
UACUCUCACUCUCUCUUGCGAUUCUAUACCUAGAAUAAACUCAUCUCUGGAUCCACUUUCAAGUCGACCCCAAUCACCGAUUUCCUCUGGUUAUGCUAAAAACGUCUAGGGAUUUGCAGAUCUUGAAAAGAGAAGAGAAAUAUAAAGAGAACGUUGCGGGCUAUGACCUCCGACGACGAUAAAGCAGGUCAUCACCUAAGUUCAGCACAUAAGCAGGGUUUGCUGUGUUAAGGGAUGGCCAAAGAAGGGAUUACAUCAUCAUCCCAGCAUCAGCAACUUUCUUUCUUUUCAAAACUGCAGCAUAC